rnacentral:rRNA from 1 species
UACAGAGGAGCCAAGCGUUGUCCGGAUUGACUGGGCGUAAAGCGCACGCAGGCGGACGCGCGCGUGGGGUGUGAAAUCUGGCCGCUUAACGGCCAGGCGCCAUCCCAUACGGCGCGUCUGGAGUGAUGCAGAGGUCGAUGGAAUUGCCGGUGUAGUGGUGAAAUGCGUAGAGAUCGGCAGGAACACCCAGGGGGAAACCAGCCGCCUGGGCAAGCGCUGACGCUGAGGUGCGAGAGCGUGGGGAGCGAACCGG